AAACAUGAAGUAUGCUCAUACAGUCUCUCCAUCUUGACUGCCCAUAUGUGACCAAACAAGGACAACACCAGAAGAUUUGCAAAAGUGGAUGGGAAGAAGCACACCAAUCGCUUGUCCAGUGCUAAAUGGUUUCCAUGCAUGGAUUAUCCAACUCACUCAUUGUUCCAGAAGAAAAGCAAGAGCAAGAACAUCCUGUGUGUUUCAUCAGGACAGACUGAAGAUAGUAGAACCCCAGAAAAAAUGAGAAUUUGGGCCAGUUAGAAUGGUGAAUCCUUGAGGACUUCUCCAUAGGAGGAAAUACAUGUCUGGUACUGAACAUAGUCAAAAUCCUGAUGAGGAAAAAUCACAGACCCUAAGUCUACUGCUGGUGUUUUCCUAAGUGGGCAUGCAACCAAACUGUGUUUUGUGUUUACACAUUUAUCCUUAUACACACUGCUGCUUCUUCAUGGAGUGGUUGACAAUUAAUGCAGAGACGCAUAACUGGUCAAAGUGCUGAGAGUAAGUAAUACUUGACUGUUAACAUCUUAAAAGUGAGGUCUACAACACCGUCUCUGGGGACCAGUGAACAUUGCGGAAUAUGGGAGAGACAGAGCGCAAGAGACAGAGGAUGAGAAGAAGUACUGAAAAAUUGUUUUCUGGUCUAACAUGGUUUUGCCAUCAUAAACUCACAGCAGCUGUGGUUACCUGUGAAGAUCUGCACACAAUUUGGCCUUAAAAUCCCAAUGUGGAUGGGAGAACAAGAUUCAUGAGGACCUACCUGUCCAUGACUUCUUAGUAGUUAAUGGUAGCCUGGGAAAGGAGUGCCAUCUUCAUCAAUGGUUAGCCACUGCUCCAGUAAGCUCUCCCCAACCCUCCUCAUGCAAGCAAUCUUAAUUAAACUCAAAGGGUCAUAGAAGGACAUGAAAAGAGGAAGUGGGUUAAUUGGGAAAAAGUGGGUUAGGAAGAAGAGAGUGAGGGAUAAGAAAGAGGGUGGGAACAUAUAUGAUCACAAUACAUUACAUACAUGCUUAAAAUUGUCAAAAUCCAGACUGUAUUUAUAUAUGUGCAUGUAUGUGGGUAACAAUUAUAAUAAUAAAAAGCUGAACAAUUUGGGAGGGAGGACAGGGAAGGAUCGGAGAGACCAAGGAAGGAUGAAAGAGAAAAGGAAGGGGGGAUAGUGAUAUAAUUCUAUUCUAAUUAAACUUUAUGGACACAAUGUUGAAUUUAAAAUUGAAUUAAUCCAAUAAGAAAAGAAAUGAUACCCCAUUGUCAUGAUAAAGAGUUCCAUAUAGCAUAGCCAACAAUAUAUAUAGUCUCUUGAAUACCAAGCUGAAGGCAGCAUUUCAUUUAAAGCAUUUCUUCUUCUUCUUCUUCUUCUUCUUCUUCUUCUUCUUCUUCUUCUUCUUCUUCUUCUUCUUCUUCUUCUUCUUCUUCUUCUUCUUCUUAAGUACCACACUAGAGAAGGCCAAGUGAUGUUCCCUCAGCAGUAACCUCACUGCACAUGUUGGGAAGACUCUGGAUGAUAACUUGAGAGUGGCUUUAUAAACAUUGUUUUCCUUGUGGUCUUAGAUUAUAAACUGCCUUUACAUAUAUUUAGAAAACUGAAUAAUUCUAUGUGACUAUGUGUUCAUGUGUGUGUAGGUCCACAUGUGUAUGUGUACCCCACAUGUGUUCCUUUGUACAUGGGGAGGGCUGAACAAAGCCUUGGGUAUCACUCCUCAGGUAUAAGCUACCUUGUCUUUUCUUUAAUGUAUUUUUGCUGUUGUUUUUAUUUUUAAGUUUUUGUUGGGUGGUUUGGUUUGGUUUACAGGCUGCAGUGAUUUGAAUAGCUAUGACCCCCACAGGCUCAUGUGGUUGAAUGCUUGGCCCAUACAGAAUGGCACAAUUAGGAGAUGUGGCCUGUUGGAGUAGGUGUGGCUUUGGAGGAAGUGUGUCACUGUAAAGGUAGACUUUAAGGUCAAGCUGCACCCAGUGUGACAUUUCACUUCCUGUUGCCUGUAGAUCAUAAUGUAGUCAUGAUGUAGAACUCUCAGCUCCUUCUCCAGCACCAAGUUGGCCUUCACAUUGCCAUGCUUCUUGCUAUGAUGAUAAUGGACUAAACCUCUGAAACUGUAAACCAACUCUAGUUAAAUGCUUUAUUUUAUAAGAGUUUCCAUGUUAGUGGUGUCUCUUGACAUCAAUAAAUCCACGACUAAGACACAAGACAUCUUGUUGAUUAGGAGUUUGCCAGGAAGGCUUUUUUAGCUGCCUAACCAAUGAUCAACAGAGAUUUCUGCUGUUUCUGCAUGUCUCUCCCUCCCCAGCACCAAUAUUGAAAGCAUACACCACCAAGCUUGUCUCUUUUUAAAAAUGGUUCUGUUUUUUUUUUAAUUGGGACUUCUGUUUGGAGGAUAAGCCCAGUGACUGAAAUUCUUAAAUGAGGAAGUGCUUUAGACUUCAAAGAGUUACCCAAUAAGGAGUAUACCAUAUGACCCUUCCCUUCUUGUGAUGUUAACAAAGAUUUUUCUGCCUCUUUUUCCUAAUAAAUCUGUUUAGCUAU